GACAUGACGGGCAGGCAGCACCAUGGCCCCCUCCCCGGGCCAGGGGCUCGGGGUCCUCCCGUCACGGGGCCUGGAGGGCCCUGUCCAUGCCCUGGGGCCCUGGUUGCAUGUCUGCCUGUCCCUGGCUGUCCCCUGGGCCUCUCUGGCCACUUCUCUCUGCUGGCUGCUAAGGCCUCCUCCCCUUCUCCCCACCCCUCGGUCCGGCCCCCUCCAGCCUCCCAGCCUUAACCCCUCACAAGCCAGGCCCCCCAACUUGCUCCUUCCAGGGCCCCUCGGAACGCUUCAGUGUGAGAUGAGGGGUGGUGGAGAAUCUCUACCCUCAAACUACCCCCCCACUGAAGAGGCAAAGCACAGAGGAACGCUACAGGGUGGACAGUUCUCCCAGAGGAAACCAUGGUCUCUAAUUGGCCCUGGAUGCCUGGGCCCGGCCAAGCCAGGCCUGAGGCAGCAGAAGGCCAGGGCCUAUGCUGUGGAAGCUCACUCUGGGCAUCUCGGGAGCUGCCUGGGGGGCCCCUGUAAUAUCUGGACACUUUGAAACAACUUUUAAAACUCCCA